GACGAACGCUGGCGGCGUGCUUAACACAUGCAAGUCGAACGGAAAGGCCCUGCUUUUGUGGGGUGCUCGAGUGGCGAACGGGUGAGUAACACGUGAGUAACCUGCCCUUGACUUUGGGAUAACUUCAGGAAAAUGGGGCUAAUACCGGAUAGGAGCUCCUGCUGCAUGGUGGGGGUUGGAAAGUUUCGGCGGUUGGGGAUGGACUCGCGGCUUAUGCGCUUGUUAGUCGGGUAGUGGCUUACCAAGGGUUUGACGGAUAGGCGGCCUGAGAGGGUGACCGGCGACAUGGGGCCUGAGAUACGCCGCAGUAGCCUACGGUAGGCAGCAGGCGGGAAUAUUGCGGAAUGGGCGGAAGCCUGAGGCAGCAACGCCGCGUGCGUGAUGAUGGGCUUCGGGUUGUGAACCACUUUCGACUGUGACGAAGCGUGAGUGACGGUAAUGGGUAAAGAAGCACCGGCUAACUACGUG
rnacentral:rRNA from 1 species